UACGGAGGGUGCAAGCGUUAUCCGGAUUCACUGGGUUUAAAGGGUGCGUAGGCGGGCUUGUAAGUCCGUGGUGAAAUCUCUGAGCUUAACUCGGAAACUGCCAUGGAUACUAUAGGCCUUGAAUUUUGUGGAGGUUUGCGGAAUAUGUCAUGUAGCGGUGAAAUGCUUAGAUAUGACAUAGAACACCGAUUGCGAAGGCAGCAGGCUACACAGCGAUUGACGCUGAGGCACGAAAGCGUGGGGAGCAAACAGG
rnacentral:rRNA from 1 species